rnacentral:rRNA from 1 species
UUAACUGACGCUGAAGCUCGAAGGUGCGGGUAUCAAACAGGAUUAGAUACCCUGGUAGUCCGCACAGUAAACGAUGGAUGCUCGCUGCUGGGCGAUAUACUGUCAGCGGCCAAGAGAAAUCGAUAAAGCAUCCCACCUGGGGAGUACGCCGGCAACGUUGAAACUCAAAGGAAUUGACGGGGGCCCGCACAAGCGGAGGAGCAUGUGGUUUAAUUCGAUGAUACGCGAGGAACCUUACCCGGGCUUGAACUGCAGGAGAACGAUUCAGAGAUGAUGAGGCCCUUCGGGGCUCCUGUGGAGGUGCUGCAUGGUUGUCGUCAGCUCGUGCCGUGAGGUGUCGGGCUUAAAGUGCCAUAACGAGCGCAACCCCUUUUCGUUAGUUGCCAUCAGGUAAUGCUGGGCACUCCUGGUGACACUGCCACCGUAAGGUGUGAGGAAGGUGGGGAUGACGUCAAAUCAGCACGGCCCUUACGUCCGGGGCUACACACGUGUUACAAUGGGAGGUACAGAGAGUCGGAUGUACGCAAGUACAUUCGAAUCAAGAAAGCCAUCCUCAGUUCGGAUUGGGGUCUGCAACCCGACCCCAUGAAGCUGGAUUCG